AAAAUUCAACUCCUCAUAUCUUUCUAUAUAUGUGGAGUUAAGUUAAAAUUGAGGUCAGAUUCGUGCUCUACGUCAUUUUUCUUUCAGAUCAUUUCCUCCUUUUUCAUUUUCUUGAUGGUGAUGAGUGAACCAGUCGGCCAGGGUCACCGGAGAAGAUGACCGGCCUUUGACGCCAGCGAUGCGCUGGAAGUUUUCAGAGCAUUGAUUUGGUUCAAAUUGUUUAAUCUCACGCGUUGGUGUCCGGAUUACCAUUCAUCUGCGCAUUGACUUAAGUCCACGGUGGAAAGCGCGUUGAGGACCACUUGAUCUGCCACCUCAUUCAAUUAGUAGGGAGAUCAAGUGGUCCACGUUUUUUUUGUUAUUUCUGAUUUUCUUUUAUUCCUUUUAUUUUCAUUAAUUCAUAUUAAUUUAAUAUUGAUCCAAAAAUAUGAGAUUUCACAAGAAAAUUUCAAAAUAAUUUUCCUCUUUCAAUAUUCUGAAUUAAAAUUAUUUUUGGAUAUUAUUAAUAUUUUUCAUGAUUAAUUGAUUUUGAAUUUGUUUUUAAUUGUUUAAAAAUACUUUUAAGUCUUAAAAAUUCUGAAGUUUUUUCUCCAAGGUCAUUGGACCUUGUUUGACCUAUGAUAAAUCUCAUGGCCAUUUCUUUGUGUUUUGAUGAGGUUUUAGGAAUUUGACAAACCAUAUUUAAUUUAAAUGCCUUAUUUUAAUAUUUUUAAUUUGAAUAAAUGCCAAAUAAUUUUGUUGACGCAAUUGUGAUGACUUGUUUGAGUUUGACUCUUGUUGUGGGCCUUGGUCAAGUUGAUUUGCCUUGUCAAGUUAAUAUCAUUGAUUAGGGGGAUUGAUGGAAUGUACAUUCCAUCUCCCAAAAUGAAUGGAUGAGAUUAAUUUGGUAAAAGUCCCCUUUGAUCAAUUUGAGUUUUGAUCCAUUCCCUCCCCUCUUCAUCUCAUUCCCCUUCUUUAUGCAUUCAUUUUGAUUUGGCUAUGAUAUCUCAAAGUCCUAAGCUAGUUGAUUGAAAAAUUAACAUGAGUAUGGAUGAGAUUAGGCCCCCUUUUGCAUACUUUUUUGUGUGUUGGUAUGUUUCAUGAGCAUAGUCCAUUCUACUAUGUCUCUAACAUGCAUUAACACCAAAAUCUAUUGCCCGACCUCAAUAGUUGUGCUUCUAACUAGUCCAAUUACGAUUGCUUAACAUAGCGCUAAAAUUUGUGACACAAAAGACAUAACAUUCUAGUUAGUGAGAUGUAGUCUCCCCUCUUUCAUGGGUAUUGUUGGAAUGUUAUGUCUUUUGUGUCACAAAUUUAGCGCUAUGUUAAGCAAUCGUAAUUGGACUUAUGUAGAAGUCACAACUAUUUGAGGUCGGGCAAUAGAAUUUUGGUGUUAAUGCAUGUUAGAGACAUAGUAGAAUGGACUAUGCUCAUGAAACAUACCACACACAAAAAGAGUAUGCAAAAGGGGUGGCCUAAUCUCAUCCAUACUCAUGUUAAUUUUUCAAUCAACUAGCUUUAGGACUUUGAGAUAUCAUAGGCCAAAUCAAAUGAAUGCAUAAAGAAGGGGAAUGAGAUGAAGAGGGAGGGGAAUGGAUCAAAACUCAAAUUGAUCAAAGGAGGACUUUUACCAAAUUAAUCUCAUCCAUUCAUUUUGGGAGAUGGAAUGUACAUUCCAUCAAUCCCCCUAAAUCCAAUGAUAUUAACUUGACAAAGUCAAAUCAACCUUGACCAAGGCCCAACAACAAGAGUCAAACUCAAACAAGUCAUCACAAUUGGUCAACAAAAUUAUUUGGCAUUUAUUCAAAUUAAAAAUAUUAAAAUAAGGCAUUUAAAUUAAAUAUGGUUUGUCAAAUUCCUAAAACCUCAUCAAAACACAAAGAAAUGGCCAUGAGAUUUAUCAUAGGUCAAACAAGGUCCAAUGACCUUGGAGAAAAACUUUCAGAAUUUUUAAAGACUUAAAAGUAUUUUAAACAAUUAAAAACAAAUUCAAAAUCAAUUAAUCAUGAAAAAUAUUAAUAAUGAUCCAAAAAUAAUUUAAUUCAGAAUAUUGAAAGAGGAAAAUUAUUUGAAAUUUUCUUGUGAACUCUCAUAUUUUUUGGAUCAAUAUUAAAAUUAAUAUGAAUUAAUGAAAAUAAAAGGAAUAAAAGAAAAUCAGAAAAUAACAAAAAAACGUGGACCACUUGACUCCCUACAUGAAUGAGAGAUGGCAGAUCAAGUGGUCCUCACGCGCUUUCCACCGUGGACUUAAGUCAAUGCGCCAGAUUGAAUGGUAAUCCGGAACACCAACGCCGUGAGAUUAAAACAAUUGAACCAAAUCAAUGCUCUGAAAACUUCCAGCGCAUCGCUGGCGUCAAAGGCCGGUCAUCUUCUCCGUGACCCUGGCCGACUGGUUCACUCAUCACCAUCAAGAAAAUGAAAAAGGAGGAAAUGAUCUAUGAAAGAAAAAUGACGUAGAGCACGAAUCUGACCUCAAUUUUAACUUAACUCCACAUAUAUAGAAAGAUAUGAGGAGUUGAAUUUUGAGGUGUGUCAACUGAGUUGCUUCGAUUUGACCUCUAAGCAACUCAAUCUUCUUGCCUACAUUGGUAGGACUUCAGACAACCAAAGAUCUAAGAGAAUUGAGUGGAAUUGAGAGAGAAUCGAAGAGAUGAAAUUUUUUGGAAAAUACCUUCAAUGCAGGUCUGGAUUCAAUUGUACUUGCUUUGGCUCGUGCUUGAUCUUGCUCAGUAUGCUUACAGAAGUAGAUUAGAAUGCACAAAAGGUCUUGGAUCCCUGGAGUUUUGAAUCUCAAAACAGUGAGAUUCCAACUCAAUUUCCAAAGGAAAUUCUUAGGAUUAUCCUCUCAAAUGGAAGGGUUUGGUGUUUGGGAUCAAAGCUGGCGCGAAGGGGUCCCUAAUUCUGAGCAUUUGGAGCUCUAUUUAUAUCUGAAUCAUGUGAUAUUUGCACCUUCCAAAUGAGUUUCCAAAAUCGGAAAUGAGUGAUGCAUGUGCGCAUGGGCAUGUACAUGUUCAUGAGAUCAUUACAUUUGAUCCAUAAUUGAGUAUGAACAAGUCUGAAAUCAAAUUGGAGUGCUAGGCAAUUGUACAUGGAAGCUUGAAGUCUAAUUCUUGCCAAAUGAUGAUGCAAUGUUCAAGCCAUGCGCAACCCAUUCAACCCUUGUCCAAAAUGGAUGAAUUUGGACUUUUUGGAAAGGUUAAAUCAAGAGGAAUAACUUUCAUGUUCAACACUUUUCCAUUUGAAGCUUGUAUCAUGAUGAAUUUUGAGGUGGAAGUUUGGAAAUUUUAACAUAUCAAUUUUUUUCUAAGUGUCAAGCCAUAUAUCUCAAGAUUCCACCUUACUUAACUUUUUAUGUGAGCUUAAAAUGAGAAAAGUGUAUUCAUAAAACUUUUAGCUCUUUCAAAGACCUUGAAAAUGGUCACCGAUUUCAUGUCAUUUGGAUUUGAAAUGAUAGAGUUAUGCAUUUUUGAAGUUUGGAAAAAUCACUUGUUCAAUGGUAUAGGUCAAAAGUGACCUAUAAUGUAGCUUCAUAUCACAUGCUCAUAAAAAUUGAAUUAGCUCUCACUCCAAACAUAAAAGUUGAAUUAGACAUCCUGAAUUUGAUUGUUCAACUUGGAAAUCUUUCAUCUCAUAAAAAUUGAGCAAGUUAUGGGAUUGGGAAGUUGACUUUCAAAUUAGGGUUUAGACAAAAUGACCUAUAAUGUUUCAACAUAGAAAAUGAUUUUCCAAGAAAAACUAGCUCUAGGUAUCAACAUGAAAGUUGUUUGGAAUGCCAUUGAGAGUAACGUUGCUAUUGGAAUAAUUUUCAUAUGGUGAAAAUUGUAGGAGAUAGGGUCUAGGGAGACCCAGUUUUGAUCAGAUGAAUUCAUCUGGCCAACCACCAUCAACCAACUUGCUAACCUUCAAUUCUUUGGACUUUCUUGGAAAUUCAUCUGGCCAACCACCAUCAACCAACUUGCUAACCUUCAAUUCUUUGGACUUUCUUGGCUCAUGGUAGAUCAUAUAUGCAUAAGAUGAUGAAUUUUGAAGUGUCCCUUGAGAAAUUUUAUCAAAUGGCAAGAUAGCUUGUUGGAGAAGUUACUCAAGAUACCCAGUCAAACUAGGGUUUCCAGGACAAAUCACCCUCAAACUCUUCAAGAAUGAUUGAUCAAUAUAACAUGUAGGAAUCAAUGGAAAUAAUAUAUGAUGCUCAUACCAUUCUUGGAUCAAUUCAUGGUUGUGCUCUUUGUCAUGAGGGUCAUAAACCCUAUAUAUGAACUUGAUAUAUCAAUGGUGAUCAUGCCCUACCUACAAAAGAGUUAGGCAAACACAAAGACAUAUUUUUGUAUUUUGGUUAGUAAAAUGAUAAUAUACAAGUAUGAUACAAUCACAUAGUGCUUGGUGAUCUCUCCCAAGACAAACGCAAUGAAAGAGGGGUAAGGAGGAUGUCAAGGUAUGAUCCCAACGCUAAUGCUUAUGAUGAAAUUGCAUGAGGGAUCUUAGGGUCAAAAUUGGUGUCUUACACCUGACUCCAUGCUCGUGACUCAUAACAAACCCUUUGAUUCUUGGUUGAUACGAUCAAGUCUUGUCAAUAUCAAUGGAACUUGGGUGUUGAUAAGGUGAAAACCAUAAUCCACCAAAAUGGAUAAUUGAUCUUGAUGAUGACUUGAUCCGUCCCUUGACCUUUACUUGUGCUUGCCUUGUUUAUGAUCCCUUGUGUGUGAUUGUUACAUUCAUGUAUACAUGCGCAUCAUGACAUUCAUCACAGAAAAUAAAUUUCAAGGAACUAAGGUCUUGUUUGCAAAUGUUUUCAGACCAUGGAUUAUGGACGAAGGAACAUUAAGAAGUACAGUUUAAGAUGUCCUGAUUUGAAAGAGCUAAGGAAGUUGUCAUCCUUUGUAUUAGAUCCCUUGGACUUUAAGCAACGUCAUGGGAACCAUUUAUCUGUGUUAUCUGCUGAUAUGGUUGAAGGACUUCUGAGUGUGUUGGUUCAGUUUUAUGAUCCUCUCUACCAGUGCUUCACUUUUCCUGAUUAUCAGCUUGUGCCUACGUUAGAGGAGUAUGCCCAUCUCUUGGGAAUACCCGUAUCUGACAAAGUACCUUAUAGUGGAUUAAAGGAGAUUCCCAGAUCUCAUAUCAUAGCUGAAGCUCUUCAUCUGAAGAUAUAUAAGAUUGAUGCUCAUUUGGUGAAGAAAGGAGGUAUUUUUGGGUUGACUUCUGAGUUCCUCAUUGGUAAAGCUAUUUUUUUUGCUCAAGCAGGUAACAUGGAUGCUUUCGAAGCCAUAUUUGUAUUGCUCAUCUAUGGUUUAGCUUUGUUCCCUAACAUUGACGGUUUUGUUGAUGUUAAUGCCGUUUGAAUUUUCUUGAUUGGGAAUCCUAUUCCUACUCUGUUGGAUGACAUGUAUGUCUCUUUGCAUUUGAGGAAUUCUAAAGGUGGUGGGACUAUUGUGUGCUGUAUUCCUCUUCUGUACAAGUGGUUUAUUUUGCACUUGCCUCAGACGUUUGCUUUUUUAGAGAACAAGCAAUGUCUACGGUGGUCUUAGAGACUUAUGUCUCUCACUAAUGAUGAUAUUGUUUGGUAUGAUUCUGCAUUGAGUAGUGUGGACAUUAUUGACAGUUGUGGUGAAUUCACUAAUGUGCCUCUUGUAGCGGUGUAUUCGUCACCUUAUGAUUUAUUGACUAAAUCAAAAGCAAAGCAUACAAAAAUAGAGUCGCCACCGUACUUCUAUUUAUCCAAAGGAAUGGCUAGAAAGCGAACAAAAGCCUAUGAAGUUUUACACAGAGAAAACUAAUAAAAGGCCAGAGAUCUGGGUAAGGGGGUAAUUAUGCAAAGGGAAGGUGUUAGGCACCCAAUGCAUCCUAGGUACUCCUAGGGAACCUCUUUUCACAAAUGUUGUAUUAUUAUUUGUUUAUGAAAUAUUUUUGUGCAAACCAUGAUUGAAGGGAUGAGAAAAGAAUAUACAAUUUUUAUUAUUUUUGUGUUUGAAUGGAUGAACUCAUUGCCUACGUACCUUUUCAUGAAAGAUAAGGAUCAAAACGCCGUAGUUCGGCUAAAAGAUUUCCAAAAAGUGAGUGGAUUGAUUUUAAACAAGAACCUUAAGGUCUUUCAUUAUCAACGGGAGAAAACUCAACCUGAACCAACAAUCCACCAUGUGAGAAAAGCUUCGACAUGCUAGUGAGGGGUUAACCCUAUAAUAAGCAUGGAAGUCUUACAAUUCAAUCACUAAGGAUGCGGUGAGAUUUACAUCAACCACUAUAAUAAUUCAGAUAUAUGGCUAAUGUAUGAAAACUUGAUUAAGAGAGUGGACAAGGGCCACAAAAGCAAUUGAGUGAGUGAAAUUAACCAAUUAGAAUUAUUCACAAAGAAUGGUCAAAGUUGACAUUAGAUUCAAUUCAAAAGAAGUAUUGUGAAAAUGAAGUUUGAAAAUCAGAGGCUUAAGGCCUAGGUUUCUAGUUUUGAAAACAGAUGAAAAUGUUUGCACAAAGUUUUCUGGUUUGGGUUAAAGAUGAAAACAAGGUUCAAGGUUAAGCACAAAAGGGUUAAGGGACAAAAAACAGAUGAAAAUGUUUGCACAAAGUUUUCUGGUUUGGGUUAAAGAUGAAAACAAGGUUCAAGGUUAAGCACAAAAGGGUUAAGGGACAAAGCCACAAAUAGGAAUCGCUUUCUCAAAAUCAUAGGAAUGAUUCAAGGAAGUUCCUUUGGAAUUAGGCAACACAAGGCAAAAGCAAAUAAGCAAGCUCAAAGGAGCAACAAAACUGGAAAUGGAUUGCCAAUAAAUGGUCUUACGUCCAACUCCGGAAACAAAUGGGAAACGGAGUGCCAAUAAAUGGUCUUAUGUCCAACUCCACAAAGCGACAUGGGAAACAGAUAGCCAAUUAAUGGUCUUACGUCUGACUCCACAAAAAGAAAACAAGUAGGAAAUAGAUAGCCAAUCAAUGGUCUUACACCUGACUCCUCAAAACAAAACAAACACAGGAAACAAAUAGUCAAUCAAUGGUCUUACACCUGACUCCUCAAAACAAAACAAUAUAGGAGAUGGAGUGCCAAUCAAUGGUCUUAUAUCCAGCUCCCCAAAAGGAACAGGAAACAGAUAGCCAAUCAAUGGUCUUACAUCUGACUCCUCAAACAAAAAAAAUAACAAAUGCAAGAGCAAAAUGCAAACAAUAUGCAAAAGCAACAUGAAGGAUGCACAAGUAAGCAACCAAGCAAACAUAUCAAUCAAUUAUCACACGCUAUACACAACCAAGAGGCUCAUACAAGGCUGGGCUUUAGUUAAGGGGUCAUAUCAACCUCGACAAACAAGCCAGAUAUGUAAGGGUGUUUGGGCUCUUAACCACUGACAUUGACCGUCAGGGUGAGCAGAUGAAAUGGGAGAUGAGGGUUAGACCUCAUAGCUCUCAACCCUGGCCGGGGUGAGCUUGAAUCAAAGAAGGUGUGGGAGUCCAGAAUAAGGAACUCUACUCCACAAUGACUGACUCUAUAUACAAUGAUCUUGGGUGUUUAUUCAAAUGCAUCAGCACAUAGUGCGAGCAAUAUGAAAGACUCAACUGAAUAGCAGGGGAUGGAUUGCACAUCCCUCCUAUCUGCCAAUGCCUUCACUUAGGAGGUCUUACAAUGUAACCAUGCCUCACUGAGGUCUUUAGCACAAAAUUAAACAAUCAAGAAUGUGGCCUCUUAAGGAGGGCUUCAGACAGGUGCCUGCCAAAGAUAGCAGGUCUCCAGACUACAUGGAGUUAAGGAAAUACCAAGUGUUGCAACACCAAGCACAGCAAGCAACUCAAGUAAUGAGUUAAAGCUACUAAAGUACCUGUAAGAAAAUCAAACAAGUCAAUAUUCACAUUCAGACAAACUAAACAAACAGUCAACAGUCAGACAACCAAUAUACACAAUGUAAGUCAACAACUCAAGUGAAUUAGCCAUCCAAGGACCUACAACACAAUCAACAUUAGUUAAACAAAGCAAAUUGUAUCUCAAGCAAGGAGAUUACAUCAUCCAUUAGGAAUUAUUGCUUGAACCUGAAAUGCAAAGCUCAAAUUGUGAGUACAAACCCCUAAGGCAAAGCCUAGGGUCAAAGGUGAAGUAAAAAGUCAAAACAGCAACCAACAUUCAACAUGAAUCACAUUUAAUCAAGUAAGAACAUGUCCUAAAAAGGACCAAGCCAAAAGCAUUAAGCAAAGUCAUGUAGUGAGCAAGAGAAGACAAAGGCAAUUUCAAAGCACACAAUUGAACAUUAAGAAUCAAAAUUCCAUAUUAAAACAGAAAUGAAUCAAACAAUCCUGGAAAUUUUUAUGUGCACAUAAUAUGUCAAACAUAAUCACCAUGCCAAAAAUUAGAAUCAACAGAGUUCAAUUGACCUAGAAAUGAAAAUGCACAAGUAUGACAUCAAAUUGUGUGACACACAUUGUCACACCAAAAGUUUAUGUGUCUAAAACAGAAAUCAAAAAUGAUAAAAAUGCACCAUCAAGCCUCAAAGGUCAAGCAACAUGUUGGGAAUCAUCAUACAAAAUUUCAUGGCAAUUGGAUCAUUUUUGAGCAUUUCACACUAGAAAGAAUGAAGCAAUGUCACAAAUGCAUAUAUGAUCAAUCAACCAAUCACAAUUCAAAUUCCAGAGAUGAUAAAAUCAUGAAACCAUCACCAAAAGAUAAUAGACAAACACAUGAACAUUUUGCAAAAAAUUGGGAAUUAAUUGGAUAUGUUUUCAAUUUUAUAUGAUUUUUCAAAGUUGGAUAAAAUGUUUGAAAUAAAUGAGCAAACACAUGUUGAAAAUGGAGGGAAAGAUUAAAUGAUGAAUUAAUUUGAAAACAUGUCUCAGGCUGGAAUCGAACUCGGUGGCAAUUAAAUGAAGCGCUGAAACACAAAUAAUCCAGAAAUGUUCACGUUGGGAAUCGAAUGGGGGAAGGAUGAAACGCAGAGUUUCAUUAAUGCGUUGGCGUCCACGUCACUGAGUCAAAGGCCAUGUGGCUUGGUCAAAAGAACGCUGGCCAACGGAUACGCCAACGAUGUGCUUGCAUGGACAUGACCAUGCAAAGCCCUAGCGCUAAAACCAGAAGGCAGCGCUACAGUACCAGGGCGGCGCGCACGGUGGAAGCCACCGUCUUCUUCAUGAAGACGGUGGAGAAACAGUAACUUCAUGCAAGAAAUUUUCCAGAAUCAUGCAAUAUCUAUACCAAAUGAAAGCUCUUGCUACGUACAUUACAGAUCAAGCAAUAUCUAAGGCUAAUUCAUCAUGAAUCUUGAGAAUCGAUCAAAACAUUAUUGGAUACAAAACUUUAAAUCCACAUAACUCGGUCAAUAUUCAUCCAAAUCACAUGAAAUUUUCAUCAGCAUGCUCAGCAAGAGAAGGUCUACACUAUCAUGGCAAAAGAUUGGAGAAUUAAGAGCUUCGAAAAACCUACCUCUUGAAGAACAGUUUCUGGAAUCAACAGUUUCAAGGCCUGACACGAUUCAAAUCCACUCCUCUAUCACUGUUAUGAAGCUUUAUGAAGAAAUUGAGGCUUGGAGAGGCUUAGAUCUAGCUCAAAUAACAGUUUCCAUCUUCACCUUCAUGAGCUUGAUAUGCUUGAUUUCCACUCAAAUCCUUCAAAACAAAGUUUGAUCUGCACUAAAGGAGGGUCAGAGAACAAGAAUAUACAAGAAAAUCACUAGCUUAUGUGAAGAAAAUUUGAAUUUGGAUUGAGAGAAAAUUUUGGAGGGAAGAAGAAUUUAGAUCUAGAAAUGGUGAAGAUCCAGAAAUUCUGUUAAAAUUCUGUUAGGAUUUGGUAUAUAUACUCAGUCUUAAUCACAUCCUAAUUAAAAUUAAGCAUGGUUUAAUUGAGAUUAGUGAAAAUGGGGUGUGUGACCAAAAAUGACAAUUUGUGUGGUGCAUGGGAAAUGCAUACGUGAACAGUACCAAAUGGGAGCUCAAAUUCACUUAAAAUCUUCCAAUGAACACAAUGGCAAUGGUAUUUUGUCCAUACAAUGCACCAAUUUUAAAUUUAUCAUUUUCCCUCUAAAAUAGUCAUGAAAGAACAAAUGAUCAUGUGAUGAAAUUUCAUGCAAUGUGAUGAAUGAUUUGGAAAUUAGAGGUCAUGACAAGCAAAAUGCAAAAAGAGGCACUCAUUUUGGAGUUAUGAGUCAAAAGUUAUGGCCUUUUGAAGUUCCAUGCACACUUGGCAAUGAUUGGACCAUAUCUCCUCAACCAUUCAUCUGAUGCUCAUGAUCUUGGGCUUUUUGGAAAUGGGAGAGAGAGAUCUUAAACUUUCAUGUUGGACAAAAGUUCAUUUGAAGCUUCUUUGAUGUUGGAAAGUUGAGUUGAAGUUGGUCCAAAAACAUUCCAUUUUUGGAAACUUGAAAUUAUAGGUCACUUUCCAUUUUGGGAAACUUUUGUACUGGCUUCAAAUUCUUCAAUGUAGAUGUUUGACAUGAUGAAUAAGCAUUGUUGGCACAUGAAUGGGAUGAAGAAACUCAAUUUCCCAAUUCAAAAACCACAGUUGACUUUCAGUUGACUGGCAUAGGCCUUUAGAUGACCUGAAAAUGUUUUGAUGAACUUGGGCCUUUGCCACUUGGGGAAUUUGCUUCACAAUGGACCUCUAGCUCACAUAAGCUCAAAAUAAUGAUCACAUGAUCCAUAUCUCAAGGAAAACCUCAUCUCUUGCACAAAGGAUUCACUUGAUUGCCUUGACUUGUUGAUUGUUUAAGCUGCAAGACAAAGGUUAAUGACAUAUUUUUGUACAUUUUUGGUUAGUGAUUAAUAGAAAAGCAAUGAUACACAAAUGCAAGGAAUGCUUGGUGAUCAAGAAUUACUCUCAAGAAAGAUCCCACCCACAGGGAAGGAAGCAAGGUGUCCAAUGAUCCUUGAGGCAAUGCAAUGUUAUGAUAUGAUGCCAUGAGGGAUCUUAGGGAUAAAAUUGGGGUCUUACACCUCUCAUUGGUACACAAGGAGGAAUCAACUAUAACCCUGCUUUGAAUCGUCGUCAACUUGGGUUCUCCUUGAGAGAUAAACCUAAUAACACUCAGUUAGAAGGUCUAUUUUAUAAAGAGGGUAAUGAUCCUCAACAUUUGAAGCAAAAGAUGAUACAUGUGUGGCAUAAUAUGCAUAGGAAAGGAAGAUCUGAGCUUAGUCAGCGCAAAUGUGUAGCUCUGGGAGCUUACACUAUUUGGGUGAAGAAGAGAGCUUUGGAGCUGAAGAUGCCAUACGCUUGUGAAAGAACUAUAUCUAUGGUUAUGGCUGAGCCAUCAACUCUCCCUAACCAAGAUAUAGAGGAGUUGGAAGACGCACUCACCAAGAUGAAGCAAGAGAGAGAUAUGUGGGAAGAGCGGUUCCAUACUUUGAGCUGAAAGCAUGAGGAGUUGUAGCUUGAGUCAAAAGACAAGGAUGCACUUAUUGAGAUUCUUGAAGACCGAGCAGUGAAAAGACAGAGAGAUCCAGAUGGUCUACCUUCCUCUAUUAUGCCUCAGCCUUCCAGUGCUUGGAAGAAGAUUAUUGAUCAGCUAGUUCUUGAGAAGGCUCAGAUGAAGAUAUCCUUUGAGUUUGAGAUUCUACACAUCCGAAGGAAGUAUUCACAAUAGCCAGAUCAUCUGACGCAGUUGCUAAGGGAUCCUUAGGAUGAUAGUUUCCUUUUCUCUUGUAUUUGUACUUUGGUUUCUGAAAUUGUACUUAGUGUAAUCCUUCCAAAUUUUAUGAAUAAAAAUAGAUUUUAUGGUCAAUCAAAUUAUUGUUAUUUGAAUAUAAAUUUGCAAAUAGGACUUCAUAUGUUCCUUGAAAUUAAAAAACAUUGCAUUUCAUACAUCAUUUGCACAACACGUUUUCUUCCGCCAGAUGUCUUAUCAGUUCUCCUUCUAUGCAUCAGCCAAGCUGACUCACCGUUACAAUACUCGCGCUAAUCAACCAAGGAUCAUGGAGCAUCUAGAGCAAGAGAGCAGAGAGCUAAAGGACGAGAUCACCAGAUUAACGACUAUGAUGGAAUCUGUCAUUGCUGCAUAUAAUCAAUCUUCACCAUCUUCUGCAACUCCUCCCUAGAUGACUUUUAUUUCUGAGGUUGCUACCUUAACUGUUCCUGUUGCUGCUGCCAUUCAAUCCAUGCCCUCUAUGCCUGCUGGGUUUCCUUGGGGAAUUCCAUCAAAUUUUAUGCCAGAAGGGUAUGCGCCCACCUUUGUUUCUCUGUCGGCAUCUAGCCCGGUCAUGUCAGUGCCUCCCCCGGUUGUUCACACUCUUCCUCGUGUUAAGGAUACUAUCUACCUUUCUGACCCGUCUGAGGGCCCAGAUGUAUAUGAGAAGAUGGAUGAGAUGAAAGAUCAAUUCCUCUAGCUACGUAAAGAGUUGAAUACCUUGAGAGGAAAAUACUUGUUUGGGAAGAGUUCUGUUGAACUUUGCUUGGUCCCCAAUGUUAAGAUCUCGGUGAAAUUCAAGGUCCCAGACUUUGAAAAGUACGAAGGGAAUACUUGCCCACUAAGCCAUCUUGUGAUGUACGUCAGAAAAAUGUCUACUCAUACUGAUAAUGAUCAGUUGUUGAUUCACUAUUUCCAAGACUGUUUAACUAGAGUUGCUUUAAGGUGGUAUAUGGGUUUGGAUAGUGCAAAAAUUCUUACUUUCAACGACUUAGGCGAGGCCUUUGUCAAGCAGUAUAAGUACAACGUGGAUAUGGUGCCUGAUGGAGACCAGAUGAGGUCUAUGUCUCAGAAAGAUAAAGAGACAUUCAAACAAUAUGCCAGAGAUGGAGAGAGCUUGGUGCCCAGACAAGUCCACCUCUUGAAGAGAAAGAGAUGCGAAGAUGUUCUUGAAGAUGUUGAGUUUGUUUUAUUAUGAAUGUAUGAUUGCGGGUGCCCCCAACAAUUUUACCGAAAUGGUAAACAUGGGGAUGAGGCUAGAAGAAGGAGUCCGUGAAGGACAUAUGUCUAAAGAAGAAGCAUCAUCCAACAAGAAAUAUGGUUGGAGUUUCUCCAAGAGGAAGAAAGGAGAAACUAAUUCAGUGUCAGUAGGGAGGCAGAGGAGGCCUCAUGUCAGAAAGAGUUCUCAACCCUGUCAACAUCAGUAUCAAGUUUCCUCAGUAAUUCCGUUUUUUUCCAUCAAUUUCAACAAUCAAUCAGUUCCAAUUCAACAACAACAACAUCAACAACAACUGCAACAAUGAACCAACUACAACAACAAUAAUCAUCAAUAAAACUUUGAGAGGAAGAAGGUCUCCUUUGACCCUAUUCCUAUGAAUUAUGCAAAAUUGUAUCCAUCAUUGGUUCUCAAGAACCUCAUUCAACCAAGAAAUCCUUCGCCGAUUCCUGAGCCAUUACCAUGGUGGUUCAAACCCGACCUUCAUUAUGCUUUUCACUAGGGAGCCCAUGACCAUGACAUAUAAAACUGCUAUCCAUUGAAAUAUGAAGUCCAAAAGCUUAUAAAUAGUGGUAUGGUGUCCUUUGAGGAUAAAUCACUGAAUGUAAAAGCCAAUCCGUUGUCUGCUCAUGGUAACGCUUCUGUCAACAUGGUGGACGGCUGUCCAGGGAAUUUUAGAGUUUUUGAUGUACGACGUAUCCGAAGAUCUCUGGUGGAGAUGCAUAAGACAUUGUGUUUGAUCAGUGAUUGUGAACAUGACCAUGAUGGUUGUGUCAUCUGUAGUGUGAACCCCCGUGGGUGUAUGGUCGUCAAGAGAGAUAUCCAGACGUUGAUGGAUGAGAAUGUAAUCUAGAUUAAAUAGUCAAGGGAUAUAGAUGAUGUGAAUGUUAUUGUACCGGUGUUCAAGACCCAUGAGCGGGUAGUUAUCGAGUUCGAUAGUAGCAACAACAAUAAUGUUAACAGAUCGGUAUCGUCGUUGGUUAUACGGUUAGUGGGCCCUGUCCCGUAUGCAUCCGAUAAAGCUGUGCCAUAUCAAUAUAACGCCAUUAUGAUUGAAGAUGGUCAAGAGGUUCCUCUACCAGUCGCCGACUCAGUGGUGAAUAAUGCAGAUAUUACGAAGGUGACUCGUAGCGGUUGUGUGUCCAGUCCCGUGUUUCCAAAGAUAGUAGAAGAUGUUGCAGCAAGUAAGAAAGCAGAGAUUCCUAUAGUGAAUCCAGUUAGUACUCCAAUGUGUCAAUCUGGUGAAUCCAUCAAAUUGAAGACUAACAAUGAUGAUGAGGUGCUAAAGUUGAUCAAAAGAAGUGAAUUCAAUAUUGUGGAGCAGCUACUCCAGACGCCGUAAAAAAUCUCCAUACUGUCACUGCUAAUGAAUUCUGAAGCACAUAGGGAAGCGUUGCAAAAAGUUCUAGAGCAGGAUUAUGUUGAGCACGAUGUGACCGUGGAUCAGUUUGACCAUAUAGUUGCCAACAUUACUUCUUGUAAUAAUCUGAGUUUUGUGAUGAAGAUCUUCCCGGGGAAGACAUGAAUCACAAUUUGGCACUCCAUAUUUCGAUGAAUUGAAAAGAGGAUGCUCUGUCCAAUGUGCUGGUUGAUACAAAGUCAUCUUUGAACGUGCUCCUGAAAUCAACUCUGUAAAGACUCUCUUAUCAAGGCACCCUAAUGAGGUACAACAACGUGAUUGUCAAAGUGUUCGACGGUUCUCGUAAAACUGUCAUUGGUGAAGUGGACCUUCCAGUGAAGAUAGGUCCGAGUGAUUUCCAUAUUACUUUCCAGGUAAUGGAUAUCCACCCGACCUACAGUUUCUUAUUGGGAAGGCCAUGGAUUCCUGAAGCUGGAGCUGUGACAUCUACUCUACAUCAGAAGCUAAAAUUUGUGAAGAACGACAUGCUUGUUAUUGUUGGUGAAGAGAAGGCAUUGUUAGUGAGCUAUUUGUCAUCUUUCACUUAUUUUGAUGAUGAGGAGAAGAUUGGAACAAAGUUCCAGGCCUUAUCCAUUGCUGAUGAAAUGAAGAAAACUGGGGCACCCAUGUCUUCUUUAAAAGAUGCGCAAGAGGCUAUUCAAGUUGGUAACAUUUACAAGUGGGGUCAUGUUGUGGAGAUUACCGAGAACAAGAAUAGAGCUGGAUUGGGAUUUCAACUAGGGCCAUUCAGUGCCAGAGCCAAAGUUAUGCAACCAAUUUUCUGCAGUGGAGGGUUCAUUAGUGAGAAUGAUCAACACUUAGCCGCCAUUAUUGAAGACAGUGGUGAUGAAGACGAAGCUUGCGCCAACUUUGUGACGCAUGGCCAGACUUGCAACAACUGGAUUGUUGUUGAUGUUCCUGUUUUCAUUCAUCGUUCUAAGUAAUUUGUUUUAUUUAUUUUAAGAAAAUCCUUCUCUUAUGCCUAAGGGAGAAGUGAACAUUGUUGGGCAUUUUAUUAUUAUCAUCAAUAAAAUACGAUUUUAUUCAUCCACAUCUAUGAUGUUUUAUAUUUUCUUUUUGCUUUUUGCUUUUUCUGAAAAUGGUAAUCACAAAAAACAUAACAAAUAGUAAUCUUCCAUCUGCAUAAUAUUUGUUCACACUCCACUUCUCUAAAAUCAAAAUAUCAAAUGAUUAUGCAGGUUGGUUCUCAAACCCAUUGAAUACAAUGAUCCUACUCCCUCUCCAAACUUUGAUUUCCAUGUGUUUGAAGCUAAGGAAGAAAGUGAUGAUGAAGAAAUAUCUGAUGAAUUAUCUCGUUUGCUUAAGCACGAGGAAAAAGUCGUUCAGCCAUUUAAAGAACAAAUUAGUCAACUUGGGUUCCGAGGACGAUGUGAAAGAAGUCAAUAUUGGGUCUCAACUUUGUCUAGAAGCUAAGAAGGGGUUGAUUGAUCUUCUUCGAGAUUAUUCUGAUGUGUUUGCUUGGUCCUAUCAAGACAUGCCAGGGUUGGAUUCUGAGAUUGUGGAGAAUAGAUUGCCGUUGAAGCCAGAAUGUCCGCCAGUCAAGCAGAAGUUAAGAAGAACUCAUCCUGAUAUAGCAGUUAAGAUCAAAGAGGAAGUGCAGAAGCAGAUUGAUGCUGGUUUUCUUGUAACCUCUGAAUAUCCGCAGUGGGUGGCCAAUAUUGUGCAUGUUCCUAAGAAAGAUGGAAAAGUACGCAUCUGUGUUGAUUAUAGAGAUUUGAAUAAAGCUAGUCCAAAAGAUGAUUUUCCUCUGCCACACAUUGAUAUGUUGGUAGACAAUACAUCUAAAUUCAAAGUCUUUUCAUUUAUGGAUGGAUUUUCCAAUUAUAAUCAAAUCAAGAUGGCACCCGAAGAUAUGGAGAAGACCACAUUCAUUACACCCUGGAGAAUAUUCUGUUAUAGAGUGAUGCCUUUCGGUUUAAAGAAUGCUGAUGCAACGUACCAGAGAGCUAUGACCACUCUUUUUCAUGAUAUGAUGCAUAAAGAGAUUAAAAUUUAUGUUGAUGAUAUGAUUGCCAAGUCAAGUGAUGAAGAAGAGCAUGUUGAGCAUUAGUUAAAGUUAUUCCAGCGAUUGAGGAAGUACAAACUCCACUUGAAUCCCAAUAAGUGUACUUUUGGUGUUCGUUCUGGUAAGUUAUUGGACUUUAUUGUCAGUGAGAAGGGUAUUGAAGUUGAUCCUGCCAAGGUCAAAGCAAUACAAGAAAUGCCUGCGCCCAAAACUGAGAAGCAAGUCAGAGGAUUUCUCGGCCGCUUGAAUUAUAUCUCAAGAUUUAUAUCGCAUAUGACUGCCACAUGUGCGCCUAUUUUCAAGCUUCUUCAGAAAGAUCAGUCUUGUGAUUGGACCGAAGAUUACCAUAAAGCUUUUGAUAGUAUCAAAGAGUACUUGCUUGAGCCUCCUAUUUUGUCUCUGCUUGUUGAAGCAAGACCGUUGAUCAUGUAUUUGACUGUGUUGGAUGAUAGUAUGGAUUGUGUUCUUGGUCAGCAAGGUGAAUCGGGAAAGAAAGAAUAUGCAAUUUACUACCUCAGUAAGAAAUUCACCGACUGUGAGACUCGGUAUUCUAUGCUUGAAAAGACAUGUUGUGCAUUGACUUGGGCUGCUAAGCGUCUACGCCAAUAUAUGUUGAACCAUACCACUUGGUUGAUAUCCAAAAUGGAUCCAAUCAAGUAUAUCUUUGAGAAGCCUGCUUUAACUGGGAGGAUUUCCCGUUGGCAGAUGUUGUUAUCUGAGUAUGAUAUUGAAUAUCGAUCUCAGAAAGUUAUCAAGAGUAGUAUCUUAGCAGACCAAUUGGCUCACCAACCGAUUGAAGAUUACCAGUCAGUGCAGUAUGAUUUUCCUAACGAAGAGAUUUUGUACUUGAAAAUGAAAGAUUGUGAUGAACCGCUGCUUGAAGAAGGGCCAGAACCUGGUUCCCGUUGGGGCAUGGUAUUUGAUGGAGUUGUUAAUUCAUAUGUGUCAUACCCCAAUUUGGUCAGGGCAUUUCAAAAUUUUCAUAAAUUUGAUUUAAUUUUCAGUUUUCAUCAUAUCUACAGCAUAACACGCAUUUCAUCAUGAAUAACACAUAAAAUAUCAGUCGGAAUAAAUUCUUGAAAAUACAAACAAGUUGGUUAAAUCAUUCCUCAAGUACGGACAAAAUCAGCGGAUAAAAAAGUUUUGAAAUUAAACUUGCAGACGUCAGUAUUAUUAAUCUAUGGUUCACGUAGUUUAAUCUGGUGUGCUCGUUUUAUUUUUCGACGACUUUUUCAGUCGCAUUUUGAUCCAUCUGAGCCUUUUAACCGGUGAAAAUUUAUUUCAAAAUUUAAAGAAACGCUGUAUUUUUUCAAUAAGUAUAUUUCGUGCUGAUCAUUUUAGUGCGUCUGAUUUAAUUUUUUGAGCAAAUUUUUGCCCGACUUUUAUUCAUUUUUAGUCGUUUUAAUUUUACUCUUUUGCCAAAAUAUUCAGAUUAAAUAAAUAGAAUUUUCCAUGUCCUUAGUUUAUUUUUAUCACAUUAAUUUAAGGAGUUGUCAAUUUUAUUUGAUUUAAUUGAUUUAAAUGGUUUAAAUCAAUUAAAUCAUAUAGAAUGGGCGUUUUAGGCAUUUUAAAUUAUCUAACAACUUUUGUUUCUUUGUGUGUUUCCUUAAGUUAUAUUGGGAUCAUCGGUUCAAAUUUAUCAAUGACCCAUAAUGGCAAUCCUUCUCCAUUUCAUUUCAUCCAAUCAAAAAUAAAAUAAAAUUAAUUGAAUUAAAAAUGACAAAGAAAAUUAGAAAAUAAAAAUAUCUUGUUUCUCCCCAGUAAAGUUGAGCCACACGUCCGUUAUGGAUAAGGAUUAUAUUUUUUUUAACUAAAGAAAAUGAAAUACAACUCAAUAACCUCUGUCCACUAAUGAAUCUCUGUUGGUCUAACGGUAAGAAAGGAAAAAAAACAAAAAGGACAACUAGCCUCCACACUCUCUCAGAGACUCUCUCAUUUUCCAAUGGCUAUAGGUCACAGAAAAAUAAAAUAAAAAGGAAAAAGGGGAACACCGUUCAUGUUCUUUCCCACAACUCCAUUCACUCACGUAGAACGCCAAUCAACCACAAUAAGCCGCCGGAAAACAUUAACUCAUUACAAUCGCCGCCUCCAUAAAACCUCCUUCACACUCACCUCCGCUGCGAACCCGGACCACCGUCCCAUCCAACCUUCCGCCACGAAUCUAAUCCCCACCGUUAUCUUCCCACCAUCACAAAGUCCCCUCUCCAACUUCUCUGUCGCGGCUACAACACCACGACACCCCCCCGUUGCACCGUCGGUGGCAACCCCAAACCAUCCGCCGGCGAACCCUUAUCCGUCUGUCACCAAUUCCGACCACCGCAAAACCAUCUCACUUCGCUCAUUCCAUCUCCGUUCCUUCACCUGCGCAAACUAAGCGCCAUAGUCGCCCAACACACCUCUCCUUCUUCUUCUCUAAGUUCCGCCGGCAAACGAUUCUUCCGUUGGAAACACCAUCACCAUCAUAAAACUCUCCUCAUCAUGGAAUCACAGUCCAUUUCCUUCAUACACCCUCGCCGACAACGUCCAAAACAUUACUCCCUUUUACUACUUCAGAUCUACAAACUCAACCGUCGCCCGUGAAUCCUCCACCGCGACCCACCUUCAACUACCGCAUGAUCCUUUUUCCGACCGACCAACCCCAAGCUACACCAUUCAACAUCGUCAAACACAUGACGCCCAUCGCCGGCGGAAUAUUACAUCUACCUGCACCGUCAAGCCUCUCUCGUUACGGUAUUCUUGCGUCACCGUCAUUUUCCGUGUUUGGUUGGUUUUCCUGUCUUAUCUCUUUCUAUACUCGUUGUUCUAAUGAAUUUCAUGGAAUUGUAGCAUAUCUAUGAUGGUGUAUAUCGAUUAUGCCGGUUAUGUUUCAAUUUCAUCAUGUGACUUUUGUUGACUAUCAUGUUGUUGUGUUUGUUCAUAAGGAAGUUGGAAAAAGUAGCUAAGCACAUGCUUGUGUGGUUUAAUCUCUGUGUUUUUUUAUUAGGAUAUUAGAUUGUUGUGGAUCUUUUAAAUAUUGCAUGUAGUAAUAUAUUGAUUAAUUGGCCAAUAGAUUGUGAGAUAUUAAAAGUCUGUUACGGCUGAUUUUGGUUUGGUAUCUUGCCAAGAAUAUGUAAAUAAAAAGUUAAGUUAUAGCAUAUGAAUGGUGGUAAUCAUAAUUCUGAGUAGUAGUACAUAUAUUGUAAUUAUAUUUUGGUUAUAUCACAGUGUACAUAGAUUGUAAUUAUAAGUUGGUUAAAUUAUAGCAUAUGAACGGUGGUAGUCAUAAUUCUCAGUAGUAGUAUAUAUAUUGUAAUUAUAUUUUGGUUAUAUUACAGUGUACAUAGCUUGUAAUUAUAUUUUGGUUAUAUUAUAGCAUAUGAAUAGUAGUAAUCACAAUUCUGAGUUAAUUAAGUAUUAAUAUUUUAAUUGUAUUAACAAUUGAUUGCUAU
rnacentral:lncRNA from 1 species